AUAAUGUUGGCAAGGGAAGUCAGAAAAAUGGAUCCAAAACAUCAGGAAAAAGAUCGACUCUGAAGGAUAGGCACGGGGGUCCGAUUCCCAAACUUGUUGGUUGUUGGUGGACUACUCGAGCUGCUUCCAUGGCAAGAGUAGGUCACUGCGUGCCGAUCAAAUGAUAGACUGAGAACGGUUCCUUUAGGGGCCUUCCCCACUCAUCGAACAACCUACUCAGAACUAGUACAGACAAGGAGAAUCCGACUGUUUAAUUAAAACAAAGUAUUGCAAUGGUCCCAACGGAUGAUCAUACUAUGUGAUUUAUUUCAGUUGUUAUUGUCUACUUCUUAUUCUAUAUUUCUAUAUAAAAGAAUUUAUGUUUAUUUAAGAUUGGCAUGUUCCCCUUCAAAAG
rfam:Capsicum annuum cultivar Zunla-1 unplaced genomic scaffold scaffold2793, whole genome shotgun sequence